rnacentral:ncRNA from 2 species
UUCUUAUCAAGAGCGACCGAGGGACUGGCCCUGUGACGUCCAGCAACCUGAUUCAAAUCAAGGUGCUAAAUCCAGCAGACGUAUAGUCUGAAAGAUAAGGU